rnacentral:rRNA from 1 species
AUCCCGUCCGCUGGACGACCAAGGGUUCCAGGGCCACGUUCAUCGUCCCUGGGUGAGUCGGGUCCUAAGGCGAGGCCGACAGGCGUAGUCGAAUGGAUGAACGGGUCGAUAUUCCCGUACCGGCAUGCAACCGACAAAACCGAAUCCGCGAGUACUAACCUCCGGGUCCGGGCUUACGUCUCCUUCGGGAGCCGGAUGCCCUGGCCUGUUGGGACCGUAACGGUAGUAGGUCAGCGCGGGAGUGACGCAGAAGGGUAGCCGGCCGCGGAGGUGGUCUUCCGUGGUCAAGCACGCAGCCCGUCCCACAGGCAAAUCCGUGGGGCGCGUGGGCGAGGUGCGAUGAUGGGCGCCGCAGGGCGCGAUAUCCGGUGAUCCCGGCUGCCGAGAAAAGCUUCGGCGUGAGGCGGCGUGCCGCCCGUACCCCAAACCGACACUGGUGGUCAGGUAGAGAAUACCAAAGCGAUCGAGCGAAUCCUGGUCAAGGAACUCGGCAAAUCACUCCCGUUCCUUCGGUUUAAGGGAGACCCCCGAUGGUGAAGCGGCUUGCCCGUGGAGCUUUUGGGGGUGGCACAGACCAGGGGGUAGCGACUGUUUACCAAAAACACAGGAGCGUGCGAAGGCGCAAGCCGCUGUAUACGCUCUGACGCCUGCCCGGUGCCGGAAGGUUAAGAGGAUCCGUCAGGCUUCGGCCGAAGCGGUGAAUUCAAGCCCCGGUAAACGGCGGUGGUAACUAUAACCAUCCUAAGGUAGCGAAAUUCCUUGUCGGGUAAGUUCCGACCUGCACGAAUGGCGUAACGACUUCCCCACUGUCUCGACCAGGAGCUCGGCGAAAUUGCAGUACGAGUAAAGAUGCUCGUUAAGCGCAGAAGGACGAAAAGACCCCGGGACCUUUACUAUACCUUGGUAUUGGCAUUCGGUGUGGAUUGUGUAGCAUAGGCGGAAGGCUUCGAAGCCACGGCGCCAGCCGCGGUGGAGCCGCAAGGUGAAAUACCGCUCUGUUCGCAUUGGAUGUCUAACCUCGACCAGUCAUCCUGGUCAGGGACAGUGCCUGGCGGGUAGUUUAACUGGGGCGGUUGCCUCCCAAAGAGUAACGGAGGCGCUCAAAGGUUCCCUCAGCCCGGUUGGCAAUCGGGUGGCGAGUGUAAGUGCACAAGGGAGCUUGACUGCGAGACUGACGGGUCGAGCAGGGACGAAAGUCGGAACUAGUGAUCCGGUGCCGGUGUAC